UGGGACGUCGUUCAACGGUAGGACACCUGCCUCUGGAGCAGGUUAUUGGGGUUCGAAUCCCUGCGUCCCAGCCA
rnacentral:tRNA from 2 species